rnacentral:rRNA from 1 species
AAUCAACGCUGGCGGCGUGCCUCAGACAUGCAAGUCGAACGAUUAAAGCUCUCUUCGGAGAGUGCAUAGAGUGGCGCACGGGUGAGUAACACGUAAGUAAUCUACCUUCGAGUGGGGAAUAACAGUCGGAAACGACUGCUAAUACCGCAUAAUGCAGCGGCAUCGCAAGAUGACAGUUGUUAAAGGAGCAAUUCGCUUGAAGAGGAGCUUGCGGCAGAUUAGCUAGUUGGUAAGGUAAUGGCUUACCAAGGCUACGAUCUGUAUCCGGUCUAAGAGGACGGUCGGACACACUGACACUGAAUAACGGGUCAGACUCCUACGGGAGGCAGCAGUCGGGAAUUUUGGGCAAUGGGCGAAAGCCUGACCCAGCAACGCCGCGUGAAGGA